rnacentral:rRNA from 1 species
GACGAACGCUGGCGGCAUGCCUAACACAUGCAAGUCGAACGAGACCUUCCUGUCUAGUUGCGCACGUGUGCUUAACGCCUGGUAACCUACCCUUAGGUUCCCUAUCACUCCCCUAAGGGUGUCCUAAUACCGGUUAAUCUCUUCGCGCCUAGGAUUUCUCGCUUGUGGAUGGGCCCGCGUUGGAUUCGCCAGUUGGUAGGGUAAACGCAUACUAAGACGACGAUCCUUAGCUGGUCUGAGAGCAUGAUCAGCCACACUGGGACAGAGACACGGCCCAGACGCCUACGGGAGGCAGCAGUGGGGAAUAUUGGACAAUGGGCGAAAGCCUGAUACAGCAAUGCCGCGUGAGUGAUGAAGGGGUUAGGGUUGGAAAGCGCUUGUAACCGGGAUGAUAAUGAGAGUACCGGGAGAAUAAGCCCCGGCAAACUCCGU